GAGGAAGAGUGUGGCAGCAGGAGCAGGGAAGUGAUUGUUGGGCUGGAGUGAGCGCUGGUGAGGCCACCCCUGGAGUGCUGUGUCCAGCUCUGGGCCCCUGAGUUGAGGAAGGCCCUGGAGGGGCUGGAGCAGGAGCAGAGAAGAGCAGCGAGGCUGGGGAAGGGAGUGGAGCACAAGUGGUGUGAGGAGAGGCUGAGGGAGCUGGGGGUGUUGAGGCUGGAGAAGAGGAGGCUCAGGGGAGACCUCCUGACUCUCUGCAAGUCCCUGCCAGGAGGUUGGAGCCAGGUGGGGGUGGGGCUGUUGUGCCAGGAAGCAGCAGUAGGACAAGAGGGCUGGGUCUGGAGCUGUGCCAGGGGAGGUUUAGGUUGGAUAUUGGGAAGGAAUUUUUUACUGAGAGAGUAAUCAGGCCUUGGAAUGGGCUGGGCAGGGAGGGGGUGGAGUCCCUGUCCCUGGAGGUGUUGAAGGUGAGAGUGGAUGUGGCCUCAGUGCCAUGGUCUGGGAAGCACAGCAGGGUUGGAUCCAGGGCUGGACUUGAUGAUCUCGGAGGUCUUUUCCAACCCAGCUGAUUCUGUGAUUCUCUGAUUGCCAUUCCUGUGGCAGCACAUGCUUGAGGCUCCAUCCCCAGGGUGAGAGAGAUGUCUGUCCAUAUCUAUCUGCAAGGUUAGUCUGUAAAUGUGUGGUGUUAGCAAAGCAGGCUGAGUUGUGGGCUGGUUGUAGAAGGAGAAAGAAGCCCCCAGCCCAGUGCAAGCAGGCAGCCCUCAGCUUGCACAUGAUGUCCCCUCCCUGCAGGUUCCUGUCCUUGAGCCCAGGCCCUGAGGUGAGGCUGAGAAUAAGUGCAAGGCAGAGGUGCUGCUGAGGAAGGAGAGCCCCGUGGUGGGGAAGGCACAAAGCUGUGUGUGCCCAUCCCCGAGCAGGUGCUGUGUCCAUCCCCUGUGUGCCAGGAUUUGUCCUUCCCAAAGCUUGGGCAGAUGAAGGAGGCUGCGAGGAAGAGGAAGAUGCCUUGGGCCCCCCAGGCAGGCCCCGAGCUGAGGACGGAGAGCCCGGAGGACAAAUCCCCCCGGCAGAGCCUGGUGGGAGAGGCCGUUU